CGUUGUUGCAUUGCAUUUAAUCCUGUGUUCUUCCAAGGCAAAUGAAAACUACAGUGACAUAUGGAGAAACUGUUGAUGAGAAUGAUCUGAAGACUUUCCAAGCUAAAGAUAUAAAGAAGGCACCAUUAUUAGAUGUCUAAGAGAGAUGGAGACACUCUAUAUGGUCAAGACCCACAUUCCCAGGGGCUUGGGUGAGACAAGGAUUGGUAAACUGUGUUCCUGGAAACCACUAACCACCCAUUCGGAGACAGCCCUGCAUGACCUUCUCUUUAGGACCCACAGUCCAGAGACAGCAGCCAGGGGCUGACUGAUACACCCUUUCCUCCAAGCGAGCCCCCUGCCCAUUGUGCAGUGCCCAUAUGCAGACUGAUGCUGUGGCCUGUCCUUCCUCACCUCUGAGUGAUGAGCAGAGCUUGAUAAAGUAGGCUCAAAUGGGUAGCAGGACAUUUAGACAUGGCUGAGUUGACAAUGGUGUUGAUAUGACUCAGAAGGCCCACCACUACAUAAAAAUGUAAACUUUUUUUAAAUUGUUUUUUUAAAACCAGGUUUGUUGCUUUCUUGGUUUAGUCAUUAAGCCAUGCUCAACUCUUGCUACCCCCUGGACUGUAGCCUGCCAGGCU
rnacentral:lncRNA from 1 species